CGACAAAUAAGAAUGGUAUUAAGUUGGUAGAAUGGAACUCCUUCCUGAUUCCUGCACAUGUAAGUUACCAGAUACUCUUGAGGGACCAAUUUAAGGGCAAACAGACAAACGUUUUGAUGCAAAGAAAGCAUUGGAUUUGAAAGUUCCCAUGGAGAAGAAAAAUGGAGAGAUUCUAAAAGUAUGAAGAU